rnacentral:lncRNA from 1 species
GUUAUCCAGCGUGCAAGUCACCUCAAUAUAGCGUUACGAUGUGAAAUUCCGGGGUUUCAAACCCUCAGGACAUCAUUUACAUCAAUUACUCACCUCAAACCGGCUACUUCUUUAGCUCGCGACGCCUUUGCUCCUCGAAUUGGCCUCCACGUGCGUCGAAUCUGCCCAAAAUUACAACGAAUAUGUCGCAUUAUGCUAAAGGGACAAUACCCAAUCGAAAGUAAUCGAAAAAUAUCAAAAUUCACGAAUUUGACAAAACCCGAGCCCCGGUCCCACCUCUCAAAACUCAGAAAUUUUUAUACCAAAAUGUUCUUCGUCUUCUCACGAGUCUGUACAUAUAAAGAACACAAAAAUCGGAGUUCGUUUGACCCUUCAAAUCGACCCUAGAAAAUCUUAAAAACACAAGCCCUAAAACCCCACUUUUCUACUGAUUUUCAUGUUCUAAUUCACAUAUAAUCUUGUAUUUAACUUGGAAAUAAGUAGAAACAACUCACCUUUGAUGCUUGAUAAAAUCCCCCUUUAAAUUCUCUCCAAAAUCAUCCAAGCCAAAUGAAAGAAAUGAAAACAAUAAGCCAAAUCCGUGUUUAAAGAAUCUGCCUGUGCUUCGUCGAGUUGUACCUUGCACUUGUUCUAUACAAGUUGUACAUCCUAUUAAAAUUUUUCCUUGUCGGACACCUUCUGUUUAAACACCCAUAACGUCUUGUAUAAACAUCCAAAUUACAAACGGUUUGAAGAUUUAGAAACUAGACUUGAAAAUCUUUAAGUUGAUAGGUUGUAACUAUAUAACUCUUUAUAUAUUCCGAGAUAUGAGCUUUUAAAAUCGGCUCCAUGAAAUCAGAAAAUUCUGGAGAAACUGCUCUACCAGUCAUCUUCAAUCGAUCAUAACUUUCUCUACAGAUGUCCCAAUUACGAUUUCCUUAGCUUUCUGGAAACUAAACACGAAGUUCUACAACUUUUGUUUUUGAAUCAUCUCAAAAUUACUUGUAGAUCAAAAGAUAUAGGCCUCCGAAGUACGCUCCACAACUGCACAUUUGCUGUCCAAAGACAGCUUAGCAGCAGAAAUUACCGCAACUUUUUCUUUUCUUUUUGGGUCCGAAUUCCAUUCCGUUAACCUUCCGAAAUCCACCCGAGGCCCUCGGGACCUUUACCAAUUAUAUCAACAUGUCCUACAAUAUCAUUCAAACUUGUCCCAACCUUCGGAAC